CGAGACAUCCCCGUUCAUCAGAGCGGAAACCGGCACGCUCACACUUUGUGUCUAAUCAAAGCCAAAGUCCUUUGACGCUUCAAGACUCGGUCUUUUGUCAGGAUCAGCGAUGGCACAGACACUGAUUCAGUGUGUCUUGUUUGCAGCUCUUCUUCUUAUUCCUCACUGUGUUUUUGGGAUGUUUGUCGCUUUUGGAACAAACUUUACGUUUUCAUCGAUUAAAACCUGCGCGGACAGUGAAGAAUUCAAACUGAUUCAUGUGAAUGAUGACAGAGAGCUCAUCGUGGCUCGUCGUGUUGAUGGCACUUGGAAAACACCAACAUCCUCCAGUCUUAGGUUGAAUUACACAGACCGGGUUGAACAUCAGUCCUCUUCGUCUCUCGUCUUAAGUCGUCUGAACUACAACGAUAACGGAUUGUACGAGUUCCUCUGCAGUGAUAAAGUUGUUGAUCGUACCCAGUUGGACAUUGUGUUUCUCAUACCGGUUCCUGUGACUUUGGGGGACACAGCCACACUUUGGUGCCAUUUCAUGACUGCAGGUGGAUCAGAUGUGAAGUUUGUCUCCUGGGAAAAAGGAGGACAGCAGGUGGUGAGAGCGGACCUCUGGUCUGGGAAUGUGACUUAUGGACCAGGAUUUGAGACUAAUGUGUCUGUACCAUCAGACUGGGUCUCACAGGGAGACUUGACGCUGACUAUAAGUCGGGUUCAGCAGCAGGACCAGGGUGAUUACUACUGCUACACUCAUGAUAAAGACAGAGAGAAGAGGCCUGGACAUCCAGGUCCUGUGAGGUUGACAGUGAACCAGAGACUCUCUGCUCAGACCAGCACUCCGCAUCCUGUGUGUCCGACACAGACUGAUGAAGACAGAGGAAUGGCUGCUUGGCUCGUAAUCAUCAUAACACUCGUGAUAUCUGUGGUUGUUGGAGCUCUCUGCUUUGGUCUCUACUGCUGGUGGACUAAAUCUGGUAGAUCAGAUGUCUCAUCUGGAUCAAGUACAAGUUCUGACACAGCCGUAAAGAUACCACUUUCCACUAAGACAGGCCGUACUGAUGCUCAGGUUAAUGGAAAUAGCUCUAGAGGAUGACUUCAGUAGUAAUGUAUAUAUCACCAGCUAUUAAUUAUCUUAUUACACUUUAACAUCAUUAUUAUAUUCCAGCUUUCUUUGCACCAUCAUGUUGUUUUUUUCUUAAUAAACCAUAUUGACUUUAGGCCUCGCUCACGCUCACCCUGUCUACCCUUGUAACCUACUUGUAAAUCGCUUCGGCCUAAAGCUUCUGCUAAAUGUAAAUCUCCACCAUCCUGUAAUUUCCUAACAAUAAACCAGAUGUUAU
rnacentral:lncRNA from 1 species